AGGGGCAAGUGUCUUCAAACAUCCAAGAGCAACUUGCAACAGGAACAGGGCAUUUCCAGAAAAAGCAUUCAUGGAAAAGAGCCAUACAUUGAUCCUCUUCCGUCUAUAACUUCACUGGCUGAGAUGUUUGAGAGCAGAACUUCAGGAACCUACAAUACAAAUGACUGCCAAAUAUUAGAGAACUAUGAAGAAGUUCAGCCUCAUUAUACAGUGUGUUAAGAAUGGCACAGAACUGGAAAACCACAAUAGCUUUGGAACUGUCUCCAGCAACUUCCGGCAAACCAAGAGGAAAAAACGGAGCACCUGGAUGAAUUAAUGACACUAUCUUUGAGAGAAUCUUCGAGAAUAAUUCUCACUUUGGAGAAUGUAGGUGAACAGCCACUCCAGGUGUACUCCACCCUGCAGAAUGCCCACACAGAAGUUAAGCAUCUUCUAGCAGUUAAACAACAGGUGUCCUCCGAUAUGGCGGUUCUCAGGACAAAGCACAUAAAGACCCUAAAAGACUUGAAGAAUACCAACGAUUCUGUCACUUCUUUUGGCGAGUAUUCCACUCACUCAGACCAGCAGGAGGCAUUAAAUGCCUCUUGACAACUUGGUGAACGUCAGAGGAAAGAUUUCUCUUGCAUGCCCAGUGCAGCUGUGCCACAAGACCCAAUUCCAGCAGUAACCAGCAUCUUGACUGUCCACGCCUUUCAAUUGCCAGCACAAAAUGUACCUCUGCAAGCAUCUCAGAGCAUGGCUUACAUUGUAAAGCCAAUGAUGCACCAAGAUGAGUGCAGUGCUCUACCUUAGAGUAACCAACACUUGCCAAGAAAUGUUUAAAUGUUCCUUUCAUUAAAAACCUGUAGUUGUACAUGGUUAUAAAGUCUCCAAUUAUUAGUUGUGCGCCAAUUAUUGUUUUUUGUGGCCCAGGAAAAAACUAUAUAUUUACAAAUUUGACAGUGACACACCUUGUACUGUAGUAUACAACAGAUCGUUCCACAGACACUGGACCUGGGCUGUGUUUCCCAAAAGCAUUGUAAGCCUAAGCAGGUGACAAUGGUUUCUAUGAUCAACUUAAGCUUGCAAUGCUUUUGGGAAACGCAGCCCUGCUCUGUAAAUUCACAGAUGAGUAAGAUGCAUCUUUGUACUUUGAUCUUAAACACUCUUAUGAACACUGGUACACACUGAAUUAUGAACGGGGUUGA